AACGAACGCUGGCGGCGUGCCUAACACAUGCAAGUCGAACGAGAAGACGGGCUUCGGCCCGUUGGUAAAGUGGCAGACGGGUGAGUAACACGUGGGUAACCUGCCCGAAGGUGGGGGAUAACCCUCCGAAAGGAGGACUAAUACCGCAUGACAUCGCGAGAGCCUCGGCUCUUGCGAUCAAAGCUAGCCUCUACAUGAAAGCUAGUGCCAUCGGAGGGCCCNCGGCCCAUUAGCAGUUGGUGAGGUAACGGCCCACCAAGGCUACGAUGGGUAGCCGGCCUGAGAGGGCGAUCGGCCACACUGGAACUGAGACACGGUCCAGACUCCUACGGGAGGCAGCAGUGAGGAAUUUUGCGCAAUGGGGGAAACCCUGACGCAGCGACGCCGCGUGAGGGAGGAAAUCCUUCGGGAUGUAAACCUCACAAGCAAGGGAAGAGAGCUCAGGGCCGAAUAAGCUUUGAGUCCGACGGUACCUUGCGUAAGCCACGGCUAACUACGUGCCAGCAGCCGCC
rnacentral:rRNA from 1 species